GCGAGGUGGAGCAAAUCUCAAAAAGACCGUCCCAGUUCGGAUCGCAGGCUGCAACCCGCCUGCGUGAAGUUGGAAUCGCUAGUAAUCGCGGAUCAGCAUGCCGCGGUGAAUACGUUCCCGGGCCUUGUACACACCGCCCGUCACACCAUGAGAGUCGGGAACACCCGAAGUCCGUAGCCUAACCGCAAGGAGGGCGCGGCCGAAGGUAGGAUUGGCGACUGGGGUGAAGUCGUAACAAGGUAGC
rnacentral:rRNA from 1 species